CCUACGGGAGGCAGCAGUAAGGAAUAUUGGACAAUGGGCGCAAGCCUGAUCCAGCCAUGCCGCGUGCAGGAUGACGGCCCUAUGGGUUGUAAACUGCUUUUAUACGGGAAAAAACCCCUCUACGUGUAGAGGGCUGAUGGUACCGUAAGAAUAAGGAUCGGCUAACUCCGUGCCAGCAGCCGCGGUAAUACGGAGGAUCCGAGCGUUUUCCGGAUUUAUUGGGUUUAAAGGGUGGGUUGGCGAGUCAGUGGUGAAAUCCUGCAGCUUAACUGUAGAACUGCCAUUGAUACUGCAAGUCUUGAGUACAUAUGAUGUGGGCGGAAUGUGUAGUGUAGCGGUGAAAUGCUUAGAUAUUACACAGAACACCAAUUGCGAAGGCAGCUCACAAAACUGUAACUGACGCUGAGGCACGAAAGCGUGGGGAGUGAACAGGAUUAGAUACCCUAGUAC
rnacentral:rRNA from 1 species